AUUGAACGCUGGCGGCAGGCCUAACACAUGCAAGUCGAACGAGUGGCGGACGGGUGAGUCAUGUCUGGGAACCUGCCCGAUGGAGGGGGAUUACUACUGGAAACGGUAGCUAAUACCGCAUCCCAUCGGAUGUGCCCCGAUGGGAUUAGCUAGUCGGUGGGGUAACGGCCCACCUAGGCGACGAUCCCUAGCUGGUCUGAAAGGAUGACCAGUCACACUGUAACUGAGACACGGUCCAGACUCCUACGGGAGGCAGCAGUGGGGAAUAUUGAACAAUGGGCGAAAGCCUGAUGCAGCCAUGCCGCGUGUAUGAAGAAGGCCUUCGGGUUGUAAAGUACUUUAAGCGAGGAGGCGUUACUAGCAGAAGAAGCACCGGAUAACUCCGUGCCAGCAGCCGCGGUAAUUC
rnacentral:rRNA from 1 species